GUCUCAAAGAUUAAGCCAUGCAUGUCUAAGUAUAAGCAAUCUAUACUGUGAAACUGCGAAUGGCUCAUUAAAUCAGUCAUAAUUUAUUUGAUAGUACCUUACUACUUGGAUAACCGUGGUAAUUCUAGAGCUAAUACAUGCUAAAAACCCCGACUCCGGAAGGGGUGUAUUUAUUAGAUAAAAAACCAAUGC
rnacentral:rRNA from 1 species